rnacentral:rRNA from 1 species
UACGAAGGGGGCUAGCGUUGCUCGGAAUCACUGGGCGUAAGAGCGCACGUAGGCGGAUUGCUAAGUCAGGGGUGAAAUCCUGGAGCUCAACUCCAGAACUGCCUUUGAUACUGGGAAUCUCGAGUCCGGGAGAGGUGAGUGGAACUGCGAGUGUAGAGGUGAAAUUCGUAGAUAUUCGCAAGAACACCAGUGGCGAAGGCGGCUCACUGGCCCGGUACUGACGCUGAGGUGCGAAAGCGUGGGGAGCAAACAGG